rnacentral:rRNA from 1 species
CUUAUAUUCUGUAGCAAGGUUAACCGAAUAGGGGAGCCGAAGGGAAACCGAGUCUUAACUGGGCGUUAAGUUGCAGGGUAUAGACCCGAAACCCGGUGAUCUAGCCAUGGGCAGGUUGAAGGUUGGGUAACACUAACUGGAGGACCGAACCGACUAAUGUUGAAAAAUUAGCGGAUGACUUGUGGCUGGGGGUGAAAGGCCAAUCAAACCGGGAGAUAGCUGGUUCUCCCCGAAAGCUAUUUAGGUAGCGCCUCGUGAAUUCAUCUCCGGGGGUAGAGCACUGUUUCGGCAAGGGGGUCAUCCCGACUUACCAACCCGAUGCAAACUGCGAAUACCGGAGAAUGUUAUCACGGGAGACACACGGCGGGUGCUAACGUCCGUCGUGAAGAGGGAAACAACCCAGACCGCCAGCUAAGGUCCCAAAGUCAUGGUUAAGUGGGAAACGAUGUGGGAAGGCCCAGACAGCCAGGAUGUUGGCUUAGAAGCAGCCAUCAUUUAAAGAAAGCGUAAUAGCUCACUGGUCGAGUCGGCCUGCGCGGAAGAUGUAACGGGGCUAAACCAUGCACCGAAGCUGCGGCAGCGACGCUUAUGCGUUGUUGGGUAGGGGAGCGUUCUGUAAGCCUGUGAAGGUGUACUGUGAGGUAUGCUGGAGGUAUCAGAAGUGCGAAUGCUGACAUAAGUAACGAUAAAGCGGGUGAAAAGCCCGCUCGCCGGAAGACCAAGGGUUCCUGUCCAACGUUAAUCGGGGCAGGGUGAGUCGACCCCUAAGGCGAGGCCGAAAGGCGUAGUCGAUGGGAAACAGGUUAAUAUUCCUGUACUUGGUGUUACUGCGAAGGGGGGACGGAGAAGGCUAUGUUGGCCGGGCGACGGUUGUCCCGGUUUAAGCGUGUAGGCUGGUUUUCCAGGCAAAUCCGGAAAAUCAAGGCUGAGGCGUGAUGACGAGGCACUACGGUGCUGAAGCAACAAAUGCCCUGCUUCCAGGAAAAGCCUCUAAGCAUCAGGUAACAUCAAAUCGUACCCCAAACCGACACAGGUGGUCAGGUAGAGAAUACCAAGGCGCUUGAGAGAACUCGGGUGAAGGAACUAGGCAAAAUGGUGCCGUAACUUCGGGAGAAGGCACGCUGAUAUGUAGGUGAAGUCCCUCGCGGAUGGAGCUGAAAUCAGUCGAAGAUACCAGCUGGCUGCAACUGUUUAUUAAAAACACAGCACUGUGCAAACACGAAAGUGGACGUAUACGGUGUGACGCCUGCCCGGUGCCGGAAGGUUAAUUGAUGGGGUCAGCGCAAGCGAAGCUCUUGAUCGAAGCCCCGGUAAACGGCGGCCGUAACUAUAACGGUCCUAAGGUAGCGAAAUUCCUUGUCGGGUAAGUUCCGACCUGCACGAAUGGCGUAAUGAUGGCCAGGCUGUCUCCACCCGAGACUCAGUGAAAUUGAACUCGCUGUGAAGAUGCAGUGUACCCGCGGCAAGACGGAAAGACCCCGUGAACCUUUACUAUAGCUUGACACUGAACAUUGAGCCUUGAUGUGUAGGAUAGGUGGGAGGCUUGGAAGUGUGGACGCCAGUCUGCAUGGAGCCGACCUUGAAAUACCACCCUUUAAUGUUUGAUGUUCUAACGUUGACCCGUAAUCCGGGUUGCGGACAGUGUCUGGUGGGUAGUUUGACUGGGGCGGUCUCCUCCUAAAGAGUAACGGAGGAGCACGAAGGUUGGCUAAUCCUGGUCGGACAUCAGGAGGUUAGUGCAAUGGCAUAAGCCAGCUUGACUGCGAGCGUGACGGCGCGAGCAGGUGCGAAAGCAGGUCAUAGUGAUCCGGUGGUUCUGAAUGGAAGGGCCAUCGCUCAACGGAUAAAAGGUACUCCGGGGAUAACAGGCUGAUACCGCCCAAGAGUUCAUAUCGACGGCGGUGUUUGGCACCUCGAUGUCGGCUCAUCACAUCCUGGGGCUGAAGUAGGUCCCAAGGGUAUGGCUGUUCGCCAUUUAAAGUGGUACGCGAGCUGGGUUUAGAACGUCGUGAGACAGUUCGGUCCCUAUCUGCCGUGGGCGCUGGAGAACUGAGGGGGGCUGCUCCUAGUACGAGAGGACCGGAGUGGACGCAUCACUGGUGUUCGGGUUGUCAUGCCAAUGGCACUGCCCGGUAGCUAAAUGCGGAAGAGAUAAGUGCUGAAAGCAUCUAAGCACGAAACUUGCCCCGAGAUGAGUUCUCCCUGACUCCUUGAGAGUCCUGAAGGAACGUUGAAGACGACGACGUUGAUAGGCCGGGUGUGUAAGCGCAGCGAUGCGUUGAGCUAACCGGUACUAAUGAACCGUGAGGCUUAACCUU